UACGGACCACACAAACGUUAUUCGGAAUUACUGGGCUUAAAGGGUGCGUAGGCUGUGCAGAAAGUUGGGUGUGAAAGCCCUCGGCUCAACCGAGGAAGUGCGCCCAAAACUACUGUGCUGGAGGGAGACAGAGGUGAGCGGAACUUAGGGUGGAGCGGUGAAAUGCGUUGAUAUCCUAAGGAACACCGGUGGCGAAAGCGGCUCACUGGGUCUCUUCUGACGCUGAUGUACGAAAGCUAGGGUAGCGAACGGG
rnacentral:rRNA from 1 species